GCUAGGAGUCAGAAUUGACUCCACAGCGCUAACAACAGUGUCCAAAAAGUGUUCCAGUGAUCCCUAGGGGUUUUGUAGAUGUGCCUCUGAGGACCACUGUAGGGGACAAAAGGGAAAGGAGCAUGCAGGCCACCAAGCAACAUAUCUCUUCUAGGAAUGAGUCUCAAGAUGUGAAUAUGCUCUGAAGUGAUUACACAGAGGUGAUCUUUUGAAGGGGAAAAUGGGCCUGGCAAUACUUUUUCUGUGAAGAACAAAUAAGGUCACAGAGGGCUCUGAUAUACUGGCAACUGACUACACUAAUAAACAGCAUUAUGCCAAGAUACAAUUUUGGAUUUCACACCAAGAAUCUCCAGAUACCAAGGAAUACCUGAGAAGUGGAAUGGCUUUUGGCUAGGGCUGGGACUUACUCUCUUAACUGUCAGUCUUCCUAAGAUAGUUGGCUAGCUAGAAAGGACUCAAGUGAAAAUAAAGUUAGAUAUCUAUCUUAAACCAUAUGCACAAACUAUCAGAUAAAAUAUUUAAAUAUUUUAAAAAUCAUACAAAUAUUAGAAGAAAAUAUAAGCAAAUAUUUAUAUAAUCUUGAAGAACAAAACAACUUUUCUAAGUGUGAUGCCAAGGCAGAAAUGAAGACCAAUAGAUUUGGCAACAAAAAUAAAACUUUAAGGUGGCAAAAACAUGAGGGCCGGCCCCGUGGCUGAGUGGUUAAGUUCACGGGCUCCGCUUCGGCGGCCCAGGGUUUUGCUGGUUUGGAUC